rnacentral:rRNA from 1 species
UUGAACGCUGGCGGCAUGCCUAACACAUGCAAGUCGAACGAGGGUAGCAAUACUCUAGUGGCGGACGGGUGAGGAAUACAUAGGAAUUUGCCCUUAAGUGGGGGAUAACCCGGGGAAACCCGGAUUAAUACCGCAUGAACUCGUGAGAGCAAAGCAGGGGACCGCAAGGCCUUGCGCUUUUGGAGAAGCCUAUGUCGGAUUAGCUUGUUGGUGAGGUAAUGGCUCACCAAGGCUGCGAUCCGUAACUGGUCUGAGAGGAUGAUCAGUCACAUCGGAACUGAGACACGGUCCGAACUCCUACGGGAGGCAGCAGUGGGGAAUAUUGGACAAUGGGCGAAAGCCUGAUCCAGCAAUGCCGCGUGUGUGAAGAAGGCCUUCGGGUUGUAAAGCACUUUAGGCUGGAAAGAAAAAACUUGGAUUAAUACUUCAAGUCUUGACGGUACCAGCAGAAUAAGCACCGGCUAACUCUGU